rnacentral:rRNA from 1 species
UGAGGGCUUCGGUUCUCAGUUGAGUGGCGAACGGGUGAGUAACACGUGGGUGACCUACCUUCGAAUGGGGGAUAACGUCCCGAAAGGGACGCUAAUACCGCAUAACAUCCUGUCCUUGAACGGAUGGAGAUCAAAGUCGGGGAUCGCAAGACCUGGCGUUUGAAGAGGGGCCCGCGUCCGAUUAGCUAGUUGGUGAGGUAACGGCUCACCAAGGCAACGAUCAGUAUCCGGCCUGAGAGGGCGGACGGCCACACUGGGACUGAGACACGGCCCAGACUCCUACGGGAGGCAGCAGUGGGGAAUUGUUCGCAAUGGGCGCAAGCCUGACGACGCAACGCCGCGUGGAGGAUGAAGAUUUUCGGA